rnacentral:rRNA from 1 species
GACGAACGCUGGCGGCGUGCUUAACACAUGCAAGUCGAACGGUAAGGCUCCAGCUUGCUGGGGUACACGAGUGGCGAACGGGUGAGUAACACGUGGGUGACCUGCCCUGCACUUCGGGAUAAGCCUGGGAAACUGGGUCUAAUACCGGAUAGGACCGCACCGUGAGGGUGUGGUGGAAAGUUUUUUCGGUGUGGGAUGGGCCCGCGGCCUAUCAGCUUGUUGGUGGGGUAAUGGCCUACCAAGGCGGCGACGGGUAGCCGGCCUGAGAGGGUGGACGGCCACAUUGGGACUGAGACACGGCCCAGACUCCUACGGGAGGCAGCAGUGGGGAAUAUUGCACAAUGGGCGGAAGCCUGAUGCAGCGACGCCGCGUGGGGGAUGACGGCCUUCGGGUUGUAAACUCCUUUCACCAUCGACGAAGGGUUUCUGACGGUAGAUGGAGAAGAAGCACCGGCUAACUACGUGCCAGCAGCCGCGGUAAUACGUAGGGUGCGAGCGUUGUCCGGAAUUACUGGGCGUAAAGAGCUCGUAGGUGGUUUGUCGCGUCGUCUGUGAAAUUCCGGGGCUUAACUCCGGGCGUGCAGGCGAUACGGGCAUAACUUGAGUACUGUAGGGGAGACUGGAAUUCCUGGUGUAGCGGUGAAAUGCGCAGAUAUCAGGAGGAACACCGGUGGCGAAGGCGGGUCUCUGGGCAGUAACUGACGCUGAGGAGCGAAAGCAUGGGGAGCGAACAGGAUUAGAUACCCUGGUAGUCCAUGCCGUAAACGGUGGGCGCUAGGUGUGGGUUUCCUUCCACGGGAUCCGUGCCGUAGCUAACGCAUUAAGCGCCCCGCCUGGGGAGUACGGCCGCAAGGCUAAAACUCAAAGGAAUUGACGGGGGCCCGCACAAGCGGCGGAGCAUGUGGAUUAAUUCGAUGCAACGCGAAGAACCUUACCUGGGCUUGACAUAUACAGGAUCGCGCCAGAGAUGGUGUUUCCCUUGUGGCUUGUAUACAGGUGGUGCAUGGUUGUCGUCAGCUCGUGUCGUGAGAUGUUGGGUUAAGUCCCGCAACGAGCGCAACCCUUGUCUUAUGUUGCCAGCACGUUGUGGUGGGGACUCGUAAGAAACUGCCGGGGUUAACUCGGAGGAAGGUGGGGAUGACGUCAAAUCAUCAUGCCCCUUAUGUCCAGGGCUUCACACAUGCUACAAUGGUCGGUACAGUGGGUUGCCAGUCCGUGAGGGCGAGCUAAUCCCGCAAAGCCGGUCUCAGUUCGGAUCGGGGUCUGCAACUCGACCCCGUGAAGACGGAGUCGCUAGUAAUCGCAGAUCAGCAACGCUGCGGUGAAUACGUUCCCGGGCCU